AAUUCUCAACUUCAAAAACUUGUUUUGAAAGCUUGGAUGUUGGAGGUUUGCAGGCAAAUUGUAUUGUCAGCUCCUCUCAAAUGCAUUAGCAGAACUUUUUCAAAGGAUCGGCUUUGGUUUGAUAAUCCUAUCUAUGCCAUCGCUGGGACGCAGUUUUGUAGUUCAGCUUAUAAUCGUCCUUUUGGGACUGUCUCGCGAGAGGCAUGAUUUAA
rnacentral:misc_RNA from 1 species